rnacentral:rRNA from 1 species
GUGAGGAAUAUUGGUCAAUGGCCGAAAGGCUGAACCAGCAACGCCGCGUGAGGGAUGAAGAUCUAUGGAUCGUAAACCUCUGUUAGAAGGGACGAAUAACUCCAUGGUAAAUAAUCAUGGGGCCUGACGGUACCUUCAGAGAAAGCCCCGGCUAACUCCGUGCCAGCAGCCGCGGUAAUACGGGGGGGGCAAGCGUUGUCCGGAAUUAUUGGGCGUAAAGGGCGCGUAGGUGGAAUGGUAAGUUGAGGGUGAAAGCCCGGAGCUUAACUCCGGGUCUGCCUUCAAGACUGUCAUUCUUGAGUAUGGAAGAGGGAAGUGGAAUUCCCGGUGUAGCGGUGAAAUGCGUAGAUAUCGGGAAGAACACCGGUAGCGAAGGCGGCUUCCUGGUCCAUUACUGACACUGAGGCGCGAAAGUGUGGGGAGCAAACAGGAUUAGAUACCCGUGUAGUCC